ACCGAGGUUAUAAGAAUCCCCCACACUGACAAACGGGGCUCCUUACUCUCUCGAGUUAGGGAGACACACGUUCUUUUUUCCAUCGCAAUGCUCAGGGACAAGCUGGCAGGAGGACUUCAUUUUUUGAAUCUUCUUAUUCAAUUGGCUUUGCAGGCAUCCAGUCGGACAGCGAUAAUCCACCUGCAUCUGUUUGGCUUCGAGUGAUAAAAAGGAAGUGGCCUUAACCAAGGUGGACGGGACCGUUCACCGUGACUGCGAGGACUUCACACGCCUACCAACUUGAAGGAAAAGGGACUACCUGGUUCCACAGCCCCAGAUGGAAAAGUAACGAGAGCCCUACAUGGGUUACAAACUUUGGCUGCUGAAAUGGCAGAUUCAACAGGCGUUUCCAACCCCCUGGAAGAUUGGGCUACGGCGUGGUAUGGAAAAUGAAAACACCUUGUAAUUACAUUCAUAAUUGCUAUUGUUACUGCUGUUACUUUGUUAUUGCUUUUGGGAUGCUGUAUUAUUCCAUGUACGAGGACACCGUGUGUCAAGAUGGUCUCGGGAGUGGUGGAGAAGAAUAUGAACCAGCCGGAAUCACAGAUGUUGAUGACCUCUGAAGAAGCUUCUUCUCCUGAAGUUCUGCUCACACAAGACGACGUCGUGUCCAGAUGGAUGAAUUAUUGAUUAAGAAUAUACAGUUUCUUUUCUCUUAGCAUGUUUCGGGACUUGUCUUUUUCCCCUCCUCAAAUCAAUAUUUUUGGCCUGUCUCAAGAGUAGUGCUGCCUGAUGAAGAAUGCUUAGCUCAUGACUACGUUGUUUAUAUAUCCUCUGAUAGCCUUCCACAUAGAGUAGUACUGCUUAGGGUCUGUUACAUAGUUCCACUAUGUAAACAGGGGAAUUGCUGGAUUGUUCUAUUUUGUACUCAUGAAGCUAUGUUCCAUUAUCUAACAAUUAAGUUCCGUUUCCAAAACACUAAGGGUAAUACAUGAUUAAGUUUUGUUAUCCAUGAGAAUAUGUAGGAGUUUAGAUUACUGAGGAAUCAUGGUUUUAGGAUGACUCCCCCUUUUCUGAUAACACCCAAGGCCAGAGGUACCUUCUGCUAAAGAUAUAUCAAAACCUUCUGCUGAACAGUCAUAACGAAACCUUCUGAUGUUUAUAAAAGGAGUUAGCUCAAAUAAACGAGGUGUGUCAUUCAGUGAACCUGCACUCUGGUGUACAGUUGAUUGAAUGCACCU